UCCGAGUUGACCCCGGCAGUCUCCUGCGAGUCCCCGCCAUUACGCGCUGGCAACACAGGACAAGGGUUGCGCUCGUUGCGGGACUUAACCCAACAUCUCACGACACGAGCUGACGACAACCAUGCACCACCUGUGCUGGGCCCUUACGGAAACGGGCUUUCACCCGCUUUACCCAGCAUGUCAAGCCCAGGUAAGGUUCUUCGCGUUGCAUCGAAUUAAGCCACAUGCUCCGCCGCUUGUGCGGGCCCCCGUCAAUUCCUUUGAGUUUUAGCCUUGCGGCCGUACUCCCCAGGCGGGACACUUAAUGCGUUAGCUGCGGCACGGGAGGAGUCGACACCUCCCACACCUAGUGUCCAUCGUUUACGGCGUGGACUAC
rnacentral:misc_RNA from 1 species